rnacentral:rRNA from 1 species
CAGUCGAGCGAGAAGACGUAGCAAUACGUUUGUAAAGCGGCGAACGGGUGAGGAAUACAUGGGUAACCUACCCUCGAGUGGGGAAUAACUAGCCGAAAGGUUAGCUAAUACCGCAUACGAUUCCCAGACUGCGGUUUGGGAAAGAAAGCAAUACCGUGGGUAUUGCGCUCUUGGAUGGGCUCAUGUCCUAUCAGCUUGUUGGUGAGGUAACGGCUCACCAAGGCUUCGACGGGUAGCUGGUCUGAGAGGACGAUCAGCCACACUGGCACUGCGACACGGGCCAGACUCCUACGGGAGGCAGCAGUAAGGAAUAUUGCGCAAUGGACGACAGUCUGACGCAGCGACGCCGCGUGGGGGAUGAAGGUCUUCGGAUUGUAAACCCCUUUCGGCAGGGAAGAUGGAACGGGUAACCGUUCGGACGGUACCUGCAGAAGCAGCCACGGCUAACUUCGUGCCAGCAGCCGCGGUAAUACGAAGGUGGCAAGCGUUGUUCGGAUUCACUGGGCGUACAGGGAGCGUAGGCGGUUAGGUAAGCCCUCCGUGAAAUCUCCGGGCCUAACCCGGAAAGUGCAG